CAAUUUCUGAGAAAGAGAAUGAUGAAUGGUCGACUGUGAGAUCUGAUGUUCACAGAAAACUGGAAUUGAGCAAAUCACCAGUCUCCAAAGAGGAACAACACCCUACUAUUCAGAAAUUAGCAAGCAGAGGUAUGCGCCUUGAUUUUGUUGCUCCUAUGAUAAAGAAUGGGGUACCUAUUGCUUGUCUAGAGAAAGCUGAUUUACAGAUUGCAAAUCUGAAAUGGAGCACUAUGUGAUUCUGUAUGUGAUUGGGGAUACUUCUACUAUUUCUUACUUAAACUGUAAUACCC
rnacentral:lncRNA from 1 species